rnacentral:rRNA from 1 species
AGAGUUUGAUCCUGGCUCAGAACGAACGCUGGCGGCGUGCCUAACACAUGCAAGUCGAACGGAGUGAAGGAGCUUGCUCUUUCAUUUAGUGGCGCACGGGUGAGUAACGCGUAGAUAAUCUGCCUUGGACUCUGGGAUAACAUCUCGAAAGGGGUGCUAAUACCGGAUAAGCCCACGAUGGCGUAAGUCAUUGCGGGAAAAGGGGGCCUCUGAAUAUGCUCCUGAUCCAAGAUGAGUCUGCGUACCAUUAGCUAGUUGGUAGGGUAAGAGCCUACCAAGGCGACGAUGGUUAGCUGGUCUGAGAGGAUGAUCAGCCACACUGGAACUGAGACACGGUCCAGACUCCUACGGGAGGCAGCAGUGGGGAAUUUUGCGCAAUGGGGGAAACCCUGACGCAGCAACGCCGCGUGAGUGAUGAAGGCUUUCGGGUCGUAAAGCUCUGUCUAGAGGGAAGAAAUGAUAGUCGGUUAAUACCCGGUUUUCUUGACGGUACCUCUGAAGGAAGCACCGGCUAACUCCGUGCCAGCAGCCGCGGUAAA